rnacentral:rRNA from 1 species
GAGUUUGAUCCUGGCUCAGGAUGAACGCUGGCGGCGUGCCUAAUACAUGCAAGUCGAGCGAAUGGAUUAAGAGCUUGCUCUUAUGAAGUUAGCCCCGGACGGGUGAGUAACACGUGGGUAACCUGCCCAUAAGACUGGGAUAACUCCGGGAAACCGGGGCUAAUACCGGAUAACAUUUUGAACCGCAUGGUUCGAAAUUGAAAGGCGGCUUCGGCUGUCACUUAUGGAUGGACCCGCGUCGCAUUAGCUAGUUGGUGAGGUAACGGCUCACCAAGGCAACGAUGCGUAGCCGACCUGAGAGGGUGAUCGGCCACACUGGGACUGAGACACGGCCCAGACUCCUACGGGAGGCAGCAGUAGGGAAUCUUCCGCAAUGGACGAAAGUCUGAUGGAGCAACGCCGCGUGAGUGAUGAAGGCUUUCGGGUCGUAAAACUCUGUUGUUAGGGAAGAACAAGUGCUAGUUGAAUAAGCUGGCACCUUGACGGUACCUAACCAGAAAGCCACGGCUAACUACGUGCCAGCAGCCGCGGUAAUACGUAGGUGGCAAGCGUUAUCCGGAACUAUUGGGCGUAAAGCGCGCGCAGGUGGUUUCUUAAGUCUGAUGUGAAAGCCCACGGCUCAACCGUGGAGGGUCAUUGGAAACUGGGAGACUUGAGUGCAGAAGAGGAAAGUGGAAUUCCAUGUGUAGCGGUGAAAUGCGUAGAGAUAUGGAGGAACACCAGUGGCGAAGGCGACUUUCUGGUCUGUAACUGACACUGAGGCGCGAAAGCGUGGGGGAGCAACAGGAUUAGAUACCCUGGUAGUCC